CCUCCAACAGGUCUAAUAUUGUUGAUCCAUUAACAUUUACACGCAACCUCAGCAGUUGGGUUGAGAUAUACCAAAUAAUGGGAAACCGACCUGGGUGAGGUUCUGGAGGGUAUAGAAUGGGAAGACAUAUAGGAGGCAUGCGCACAAUCUUCCAUGUGUGUGACAUUACAAGAACAAUCAUUCAAAACGCUUUUCAGAUGGUUUACCACCAGUGUCAAACAAUACCACAUGAAAUUAAGCCCUGCAGACACAUGCUGAAGAUUUUGCGGCAAUAGAGGAAGCUACAUACACAUGUGGUGAAAUUGCCCCAGGGUAAGAGAGUUCUGGGAGAAGGUAGUAGACCUGAGCUCUAAGAUUAUGCAAAGACGGAUGGAAGUCAACACAUGGGCGUAUCUCUUAUCUAGG